GGGAUGUGUGUGUGUGUCAUGAGGGACAUGUGUGGGUGUGGGUGUGUCACAUGAGGGAUGUGUGUGUGUGUCAUGUGAGGGAUGUGUGUGUGUCACAUAAGGGAUGUGUGUGGGUGUGUGUGUCACAUGAGGGAUGUGUGUGGGUGUGUGUGGGUGCAUGAAGGAUGUCAUCCCUGUUCCGUGGCCCAGACAUGCCUCACCUCACGCAGCCCUGUGCUCCGGGAAGGUGGGUCUGGUCCCGUGGCCCUAGCUGGCACUCCUCUGUCCCCUCCCAUCUUGGGGUUUAAUCGCCUCCAACUGUCCAGGUCCAGCUGAGGAGCCGCCUCUCCCAGGGCCAUUCCUGAUCCCCAGGGACCACUCCCCUCUGACCUCCCUGAGCACACAUCUUUGUUGGAGGCAUUUGUCACCCUGUCAUCUGGAGACAGUGACUUCCUCUCAUGAGAAGGGGAGCUCCUCGAGGGCAAGGCCUCUCUGUCCAUGCGCCCCGGGAGCUGUCUCACGCUGGACCCAGCACGCGGUGGGGGCUUGGAAGUCCUCCCUGACCACCCACCAAACCAGGUAAGCAGCAAGUUACUUCUCCCCUCAAACUCAAAGCUGUCUCCGGCUUUCCAAGCCCCAGUUUCCUUGGGUCCCUCAUGGCCAAGAAGCACAACAUGAGAUGUUCCCCAUCGUGCCCCAACACUCGUGUGGACAGUCCAGGGUUGAGCUGACCUCUGCUGAACUGUGCGCGCUGGGGCAGGUGCUGCGCCUGAGCUGUGCGUGCCGGGGCAGGUGCUGGGUCUCCCGAAGCCUUGGGUUCCUGCCGUGUCUGAAGCUCACGAUGCUGGGUCUUGGGCUUCCUUGCCAAAUUGGACAGAAAAUCUGUCCUAAUUAUUGGGAAUAAUAAGGCCCUUGGAAUCUCUUUGCUGUGGAACUUGAAAGACCAUCCCCCCCCACCCCCGCACCCAUUGCCACGAGGGUGAUGGUCACUUUAUGUGUCCACUCGGCUGCACCACGGUGCCCAGCUGUUGGCCACACACCUGCCUCGGUGCUGCUGUGCAGGUGUUUUCUGGCAGGAUGAACACUUAGCUCAGCAGGUUUUGAGGUAGGAAAGUGACGCUCCACCAUGGGGGUGGGCCUCGUCCCAGCAGCUGAGGCCUUGAGAGCAAAGACCGAGGUUUCUGGAAGAAAACGGGAUUCUCCUCCACAAGAUGGCAAUGUGGAAGCCGUGCUGAGUUCCCAGCCUGCCGCCCUGCGGAAUUUGGACUCAGAUGGCAGCAUCAGCUUCCCUGGACUUCCAGCCAGCUGGCCUGCCCUGCAAUUGCCAGUCCCCACAAUCAUGCUCCCCAGCUGCCCUUCAGAGUGCUGGAUUUCUCCACCUUUCCACCGUCUUCACCGCCUUCCACUGCCUUUCCACUGCCUUUCACCCCACAGUCUCUCCCGUCGGGGCUCCUUCCUCUCCGUCCCUCCGAGGGUCCGCUGCCCUUCCGCGGGAUGGGAUGGAUCCUUCCAGCCCGGGG
rnacentral:lncRNA from 1 species